GGGGAGAUACCGGAGCAGCAACAGUUAGCUUUCAGAGCCAUUCACACAGCAGCCAGUUCACGAGGUACUUCCGCAAGUAAAGGGAAGAGCUCGGGAUGAUGGCAUUGCACACACCACAGCUUCAGUUUUUAUCCUGGGAGUUGACUCAGUCUUCUUAGUUAUGUUUGAUAAAGUUGUGACACAGUUUUCUUGUUACAGUAUUUUAGUGUGGUUUUUGAGAAAUGCAACGCAUGGUUUUAUUAUGAUAUACUCAGUUUUAUGAUUUUUGGUUAUAUUAAAAAUGAAAUUUUCGGGUCG